CCCUUAGAUGUUCUGGGCUGCACGCGCGCUACACUGACGAAUGCAACGAGCUUAUAACCUUGGCCGAAAGGUCUGGGUAAUCUCCAAAUUUCGUCGUGAUGGGGAUAGAUUAUUGCAAUUAUUAAUCUUCAACGAGGAAUGCCUAGUAAGCGCAAGUCAUCAGCUUGCGUUGAUUACGUCCCUGCCCUUUGUACACACCGCCCGUCGCUCCUACCGAUUGAAUGGUCCGGUGAAGCGUUCGGACCGUGGCCUUUGGACGGUUCGCCGUCUGUUGGCUGCGGGAAGUUCGUUAAACCUUAUCAUUUAGAGGAAGGAGAAGUCGUANCA
rnacentral:rRNA from 1 species